AGCAGCCGCGGUAAUUCCAGCUCCAAUAGCGUAUAUUAAAGUUGCUGCAGUUAAAAAGCUCGUAGUUGAAUUUCGGGACUAAUAUGUUGGUCGUGCCUCGGUACGUACUGAUAUUUUUGGUUUCUCCCUUCUGACGAACCUUGAUGUCAUUAAUUUGGUGUCUUGGGAAAUCAGGACUGUUACUUUGAAAAAAUUAGAGUGUUUAAAGCAGGCUCACGCUUGAAUACAUUAGCAUGGAAUAAUGAAAUAGGACGUUUGAUUCUAUUUUGUUGGUUUCUAGGAUUGACGUAAUGAUUAAUAGGGAUAGUUGGGGGCAUUAGUAUUCAAUUGUCAGAGGUGAAAUUCUUGGAUUUAUUGAAGACUAACUACUGCGAAAGCAUUUGCCAAGGAUGUUUUCAUUAAUCAAGAACGAAAGUUAGGGGAUCGAGGACGAUCAGAUACCGUCGUAGUCUUAACCAUAAACUAUGCCGACUAGGGAUCGGAUGAUGUUAAUUUUUUUAAUGACUCAUUCGGCGCCUUA
rnacentral:rRNA from 1 species